rnacentral:rRNA from 1 species
UACGUAGGGUGCGAGCGUUGUCCGGAAUUAUUGGGCGUAAAGAGCUCGUAGGCGGUGUGUCACGUCGGCCGUGAAAACCUGCAGCUUAACUGUGGGCGUGCGGUCGAUACGGGCAUCACUGGAGUUCGGCAGGGGAGACUGGAAUUCCUGGUGUAGCGGUGAAAUGCGCAGAUAUCAGGAGGAACACCGGUGGCGAAGGCGGGUCUCUGGGCCGAUACUGACGCUGAGGAGCGAUAGCGUGGGGGAGCAAACAGG